GAUGAACGCUGGCGGCGUGCCUAAUACAUGCAAGUCGAACGAAACUUCUUUAUCACCGAGUGCUUGCACUCACCGAUAAAGAGUUGAGUGGCGAACGGGUGAGUAACACGUUGGCAACCUGCCCAAAAGAGGGGGAUAACACUUGGAAACAGGUUCUAAUACCGCAUAACCAUAGUUACCGCAUGGUAACUAUGUAAAAGGUGGCUAUACUACCGCUUUUGGAUGGGUCCCGGGCGCAUUAGCUAGUUGGUAGGGUAAAGGCUUACCAAGGCAAUGAUGCGUAGCCGAAUUGAGAGGUUGAUCAGCCACAUUGGGACUGAGACACGGCCCAGACUCCUACGGGAGGCAGCAGUAGGGAAUAUUCCACAAUGGGCGAAAGCCUGAUGGAGCAACGCCGCGUGGGUGAAGAAGGUCUUCGGAUCGUAAAGCCCUGUUGUUAGGGAAGAAAGUGAGUGAGAGUAACUGUUCACGUUUCGACGGUAUCUAAACAGAAAGCCACGGCUAACUACGUG
rnacentral:rRNA from 1 species